AAGUACCAUGAUAUUGUUGAUUUCAUUAACAUAGUCUGGAAAAAUGACAAGUGGUUAGAUGUGUAAGUCAAGAGUACCAAUGCAUACAUGCUAAACUUACAAUAUGAUGGUGCUGAAGAAACAGUUCUUACUACUUCAUCCCCUGAUUUAAAUUUUGGGAAGAAGUAAAAAAGCCUUGGCAGAUAAAGAACAGUGAUUACAAGUUACCUGCAAUAUGUACCAAGC